AUUGAACGCUGGCGGCAGGCCUAACACAUGCACGUCGAGCGAGCGGCGGACGGGUGCGUAAUGUAUGGGGACUGCCCGCUAGCGAGGGAUUACUACUGGAAACGGUAGCUAAUACCCCAUACUAUCGGAUAACCCAUAUGGGAUUAGCUAGUAGGUGAGGUAAUGGCUCACCUAGGCGACGAUCCCUAGCUGGGUGGUGUGGAUGAUCAGUCACACUGUGACUGAGACACGGCCCAGACUCCUACGGAGGCAGCAGUGGGGAAUAUUGCACUAUGGGGGCAAGCCUGAUGCAGACAUGCCGCGUGUAUGAAGAAGGCCCUAGGGUUGUAAAGUACUUUCAGUCGUGAGGCGUUACCGACAGAAGAAGCACCGGCUAACUCCGUGCCAGCAGCCGCGGUAAUAC
rnacentral:rRNA from 1 species